rnacentral:rRNA from 1 species
GACGGGGGAUGCAAGCGUUAUCCGGGAUCACUGGGCGUAAAGCGUCUGUAGGUGGUGAUGCAAGUCACUGGUGCAAAACUCUGGCUCAACCGGAGGAAAGCCAGUGAAACUGCAUGACUAGAGUGUGGGAGAGGUAGAAGGAAUUCCCUGAGUAGCGGUGAAAUGCAUAGAUACAGGGAGGAACACCGGAGGCGAAAGCGUUCUACUGGAACACAACUGACACUGAGAGACGAAAGCUAGGGGAGCGAAGGGG